CUACGCAAGUAAGCUCUCAUCAAAAGCUUUAAGGAAAGCUCUUUGUUUUUUGAAAGGGUGCUUUUAUGAGAUAGAGCUUUUAUGAGAUAGAGCUUUUUUAGAUAAUGCUUUUUUAGAUAAUGCUUUUUUAGAUAAUGCUUUUUUAGAUAAUGCUGGGGAAGGUUUUCCGGUUUAUCUCGGAGGGCUUGUAGCUCAGUUGGUUAGAGCGCGCGCUUGAUAAGCGUGAGGUCGGAGGUUCAAGUCCUCCUAGGCCCACCAAUUUACCUAUCCAUUUGCCUUUAUCCGUUUAUUUGCCGAUUUAUCGGUCCAUUGAAUUUAAGUGUUGGUAGCAGUUUUUAUAAUGAUGAGAAAUCAUGCUUAUAAAAGGCUUGUUUUUAAAAUGUGACGCUUAUCCAUCUCGCUUAGGCAAGAGAAACUUCAAGCGGUUCAAAUGCAAAAGGCUUUAAAUUUUGCAAAAUACUUUGAAUUUUUGCAAAACAAUUUAGAUUUUAAAGUGAUCCAAGUUUGUGAUCUCGAAUUUAAAAGUUUCGAAUGCUUUAUCCUUUUGUUGGGGGCCGUAGCUCAGCUGGGAGAGCACCUGCUUUGCAAGCAG
rnacentral:misc_RNA from 1 species